UACGAAGGGGACUAGCGUUGCUCGGAAUCACUGGGCGUAAAGCGCACGUAGGCGGAUUUGUAAGUCAGGGGUGAAAUCCUGGAGCUCAACUCCAGAACUGCCUUUGAUACUGAGGAUCUUGAGUUCGGGAGAGGUGAGUGGAACUGCGAGUGUAGAGGUGAAAUUCGUAGAUAUUCGCAAGAACACCAGUGGCGAAGGCGGCUCACUGGCCCGGUACUGACGCUGAGGCACGAAAGCGUGGGGAGCAAACAGG
rnacentral:rRNA from 1 species